CAACUUGAGAGUUUGAUCCUGGCUCAGAACGAACGCUGGCGGCAGGCUUAACACAUGCAAGUCGAGCGCCCCUCCUUCAAGCAAGCUUGAAGGAUUUAAUCCUUGAAAAAGAAGAUCAAGAAGAGCUUCAGAAUGAAGCUUUCUUGAUGGAGGGGAGCGGCAGACGGGUGAGUAACACGUGGGAAUCUACCCAUCCCUGCGGAACAACUCCGGGAAACUGGAGCUAA
rnacentral:rRNA from 1 species